AAGAGAAGAAGAAGAAAACGUACUUUACCUACCACGAGGAGCACUAAACAAGCACCUAUCGUUGCAUUGCACUAACUAGAUGGAAAAGCACAUGAAUUCCUUUCCUGCAGGGACCAUACUCCUGUGUGUGCUUCUCUUGUUCUCUACGAUCCAUGCAGAGUGCCAAAUCAUGCAGAGCCUAGCAAAUGAGAAGAUCAAUUUCCCAACAGGAUUGUGCAUCCAUAGACCAGAAAAAACGUGCCCAACUAAGCCAUUUUGUUUCUGUUGUUUAGUGAACAGCGAUUGCUAUCUUGCAAUGGAUGGUUGCGUGAGUAACUGUGCAAAGUCUGCUUCAUCAGGAAUAGAGGCUUCACAGAAAUAUGGUCUAUCACCUUCCCAUGUAAUGCACCGAUGAGUAGCACAUUGCAUCUUUGUCCCUGGUGGGAAGCCCCGCUGAUCAACACUGCAUGGUGCUUUCCCUUUUGGUGGCCCACAUGAAUAAAAUAUUUAUUUUCAUGCAUUGCAUGAUGUAGCGCUGUAGUAUCCCUAGUACUUAAUAGUACAAGAAUUUGGUGGUGCACAUUGUACAUCACAUGCUUA